rnacentral:rRNA from 1 species
CAGUCGCCGCGGUAAUACGUAGGUGGCAAGCGUUGUCCGGAAUUACUGGGUGUAAAGGGAGCGUAGACGGUUAAACAAGUCUGAAGUGAAAUGCCGGGGCUCAACCCCGGAGCUGCUUUGGGAACUGUAGAACUGGAGUGUCGGAGGGGUAAGCGGAAUUCCCAGUGUAGCGGUGAAAUGCGUAGAUAUUGGGAGGAACACCAGUGGCGAAGGCGGCUUUCUGGACUGCAACUGACGCUGAGGCUCGAAAGCCAGGGGAGCGAACGGGAUUAGAUACCCCAGUAGUCCCUGUCUCUUAUAC